UGAUGGUCCAGUCGUAACAAGGUCUGCGUAGGUGAACCUGCGGAGGCAUCAUUACAAGAACGCCCGGGCUUCGGCCUGGUUAUUCAUAACCCUUUGUUGUCCGACUCUGUUGCCUCCGGGGCGACCCUGCCUUCGGGCGGCCGGACCGGGUGGACACUUCUAACUCUUGCGUAACUUUGCAGUCUGAGUAAACUUAAUUAAUAAAUUAAAACUUUUAACAACGGAUCUCUUGGUUCUGGCAUCGAUGAAGAACGCAGCGAAAUGCGAUAAGUAAUGUGAAUUGCAGAAUUCAGUGAAUCAUCGAAUCUUUGAACGCACAUUGCGCCCCCUGGUAUUCCGGGGGGCAUGCCUGUUCGAGCGUCAUUUCACCACUCAAGCCUCGCUUGGUAUUGGGCAACGCGGUCCGCCGCGUGCCUCAAAUCGUCCGGCUGGGUCUUCUGUCCCCUAAGCGUUGUGGAAACUAUUCGCUAAAGGGUGUUCGGGAGGCUACGCCGUAAAACAACCCCAUUUCUAAGGUGACCUCGAUGUGGAUGAUCCAUUUAGA
rnacentral:rRNA from 1 species